AAAGAACCACACUUAUUUUUAUUCUCUUUGUGCGAAAUGUUUUGAUUUCAAUAUAUCAUGUCUUCACAUACUUAUAUCAUCGUCUUUAAAUAACUGUAAAAGCGCCUAGGAUGAUGACCCGGUGGCAGAUAUUCACAACCCUGAAGAGGGUUUCCUAUAUUGUGAGCGACCCCUACUGCCCUGGCAUGUGAGUGGUAAAAUGCCCGGUCCUGAUAGAACAUGGACAGAAACAGCCAAACACUUAUUGUCUCGACCCAGAAGAUAACAAACAGGAACCAUAGCGAUGACAGCAGGACUUCACACAACAUCCUGGAGUUCUGUGGGGACACCAGACAUACAGUACAGUGAUGUUUUCUGGAAUUAUGACCCAAUGUAUACUAGUUGGUGUUUCUGUCUUGAGGCUGUUGGGGACUUGUUACUGCAGAGAGCCUCAGGACC